rnacentral:tmRNA from 1 species
GGGGAUGAUCGGUUUCGACAUUGCCUGUGAAACUGCGAGAAGCGGGUCGAGGAUUCAGGGUUAUCUCGUUAACGAUCUCUGAAAAACCAAUAAGUGCCAACUCUAAGCGCACUGACUUCGCCCUCGCUGCCUAAGCGAGCCCGAAUAGUCCGUCAGACCGGGUUUGUUUCCGCCCCGGUUCCUGGCGUCAUUUAGGAAACUUGCUGUGUGCCGACGCCUGAGCGGUACGCGGGACUAAUACUCUGGCUGGGCCUGUCAACCUAACCGCCUUCGGUAAAGGUUGGGGCCGAGAAAACGUUUUCGAAGGAUACACCCGUAGAAGACGCAGAAUUGCAGCAGUGGACCGGGGUUCAAUUCCCCGCAUCUCCACCA